GACGAACGCUGGCGGCGUGCUUAACACAUGCAAGUCGAACGAUGAAGCUAGAGCUUGCUCUGGUGAAUUAGUGGCGAACGGGUGAGUAACACGUGAGUAACCUGCCCCGAACUCUGGGAUAACUGCUGGAAACGGUAGCUAAUACUGGAUACGACCUACGAAGGCAUCUUCUGUAGGUGGAAAGAAUUUCGGUUCGGGAUGGACUCGCGGCCUAUCAGCUUGUUGGUGAGGUAAUGGCUCACCAAGGCGACGACGGGUAGCCGGCCUGAGAGGGCAGCCGGCCACACUGGGACUGAGACACGGCCCAGACUCCUACGGGAGGCAGCAGUGGGGAAUAUUGCACAAUGGGCGCAAGCCUGAUGCAGCAACGCCGCGUGAGGGAUGACGGCCUUCGGGUUGUAAACCUCUUUUAGCAGGGAAGAAGCGAAAGUGACGGUACCUGCAGAAAAAGCACCGGCUAACUACGUGCCAGCCGCCGCGGUAA
rnacentral:rRNA from 1 species